rnacentral:misc_RNA from 1 species
GGGGAUUGUUUCGCCAGGUCAAAGCAUUCCAAAUUUUUCUGGUUCUGUUAUGUACCAUUUUUUGCCUUGCUACAUGUGGACCAUGCUUGAUGGAUGGGGUGCAGAAAUCCAAGGAGUAUGAUGGCUGUGGGGCCUGUGGAGAUGAUUGUGCUUUGGGUUUUCAAGAUAUUAUUGUUGCUGAUGCUAGAUCAGGCUAUGAUGCAGGAAGUCCAGUGACUCACUUGAGUAUCAAGAAUAUUUGUACCAAUUCUCAUUCAUUCUGCUUUCCUUCAACAUUGUCUGGUUUUCCAUCUAAAGAGCACAAGCUCAAAGCUGAAGCUUUAGAAGUUUCUGGGAGUCCAUCUGAUAGUCUGUCUUUUGUGGGACCAACUCAGGGUAGCAAGGGGGCUAGUAACAGGAGCUGGUUUUCAGAUUCUUGUAUGUUUGAGUUAUUAAAUGGGAAGACUGUUUCUUGUUCUUUAAAUUUCAAGGAGGGUGUCAAUCAAUUAUCAUCCAUACAAAAGAGUAGUGCUAAUCAAAAUGAUCUUUCUUCAUGUAGAGAUCCUUUACUAAUUAAGAAGAGCACAACUUUUAGGUUGAACACAAACUCAGAGGUGACAAAAUCUAGUCCACUUGACAUUUCUUCAUCACCCCAUGUAGGAAUUAGCCCUCCUGUACUUGAUUGGGGACAUAAACAUUUGUAUUUUCCCUCUGUAGCUUUCUUAUCAGUAACUAAUAUAUGUAAUGACAGCAUUUUACAUGUUUAUGAGCCAUUUAGUACCAAUUUACAGUUUUAUCCCUGCAACUUUAGUGAGUUUUCUCUAGGACCUGGUGAAGUAGCUUCAGUUUGUUUUGUGUUUUUGCCAAGAUGGCUGGGCUUGUCCUCCGCUCAUUUGAUCUUGCAGACAAGCUCUGGUGGUUUCCUGGUCCAGGUCAAAGGCUUUGCUUUGGAGUCCCCUUACAGGAUUACUCCUGUUGUAAGCCUGGAUGUUGCUUCUAGUGGACGGUUGAUUAGGAAUUUGUCUUUGUUUAAUCCUUUCAAUGAAAACCUUUGUGUUAAGGAAAUAAGUGCAUGGAUUUUGGUUUCUCAAGGAAAUAUCUCCCAUCACACUGAAGCAUUCUGUAGUAUUGAAAAUUUUCAAGAUUCGGACAGGACGAGCCUGCUGAGUGUUAAGGAUUGGUUGGUUGUGAAGAGUGACCAAGUUGGUUUUCCAUUGAUGGCUAUGAGACCUCAUGAAAAUUGGGAUAUUGGUCCUCAUGACAGUGAAACUGUCAUAGAGAUAGACUUCUCAUUUGAAUCUGAAGCACAAAUUGUUGGUUCUUUUUGUAUUCAAUUGCUAAGAUCUUCUCAAGAUAAGUCUGAUACUGUUUUGGUUCCUCUUGAGAUUUACCUGGAUGGAAAAGUGGCAUGUAAUGAUAUUGCAAGUUCAGUUUCAGUUUCUCUUGAGGCUCUGGUAUCACGUGAUGCUAGUAACACUUUUGUUGCCAUCUCUUUGAGAAAUGAAGCUCCUCAUGUUUUGAGUUUUGUCAGGAUUAGUGAAGUUGCAGCAACAAAAGUUUUCCAGGUCAAGUACAUGCAAGGCUUGCUACUCUUCCCAGGCACUGUUACACAAGUUGCUACAAUUACUUGCACUCAGCUGCUUGUUGAAUUCCAUGAUUCCUCACCUGAAAUGUCCAAUAUUUAUAAGAACUGCAAAUUAGUUGUACAAACAAAUGACUCUAGUAGUCCUCAAAUUGAAAUUCCUUGCCAAAACAUAAUCAAUAUUUGUUUGAGACAUCAAAAGGGUUCAUCCAUUGGAUUUGACCAUCGAUCUGAAAAGGCUGACUCUAGCAACAGAAGGUCAGGACCAUUGGGCAUUAGCACGCAGUUGCCUUCAAGAAUCAUGGCAUUGGAGACUGUAGAAGCAGAUGAACUUGUUCUGGAGAACUGGAAAUCUCAUGGUACCAAAAGCAGCAUGUCUGUGCUUGAUGAUCAUGAAGUACUUUUCCCAAUGGUUCAGGUAGGAACUCAACAUUCUAAGUGGAUCACCGUAAAGAAUCCUAGUGAUCACCUGGUCCUAAUGCAGCUCCUCCUUAACUCAGGAGAAAUUAUUGAUGAAUGCAGGGGCACAGAUGGUUUUGUACAGCCCCUUUCAUCAAGUAGUUUGGUUCAUAAUGAGUUCAAUACAACUAGUUAUGGGUUCUCAAUGCCAGAGGGUGCACGAAGAGAGGCCUAUGUUCAUCCUUACGGAAAAGCAUCUUUUGGGCCAAUUUUCUUUCGUCCUUCAAAUAGAUGUCAGUGGAUAAGUUCUGCCCUGAUAAGGAACAAUCUUUCUGGUGUAGAGUGGUUAUCUUUGAAGGGAGUUGGAGGAUCACUUUCCCUUGUCCUGCUUGAGGGGUCUGAGCCUAUUCAGAGCAUAGAAUUUAACCUUAACUUGUCAUUUCCCCUAAAUAUUUCUCCUCCAGACCUGGUAUCUCACGUGGAAGAGACCACUUAUGCUUGUUCUCAGCCACUGUCAAAAGAGCUGUAUGCCAAAAACACAGGAGACUUGCCUCUUGAGGUGAAAAGCAUUCAAGUUUCUGGAACAGAGUGUGGGUUGGAUGGGUUUACGGUUCAUAAUUGUAAUGGUUUUUCGCUUAAACCAGGCGAGUCAACAAAACUUCUGAUAUCAUACCAGUCUGAUUUUUAUGCGGCAAUGUUACAAAGAGAUCUCAAACUGACCUUGAGUAAUGGAAUUUUUGUGAUACCCAUGAAGGCAAGUUUCCCUUUAUACACAUUCAAUCUUUGCAGGAAAUCAGUAUUCUGGAUGCGAUUGAAGAAAUUCUCUGCAGUGGUGUUUCUUUCUGCUUCUUUGAUGUUCCUGAUCUUUCGUUGCAUAUUUCCCCAAUUGACCAAUACUACAGUGAGAAGUUCAGGUAAGUCAGCUUGCUUGGAUCUUAAUCAGAAAACCAACAAGUCAUCUGUGCCUGCUGAAACGGAUGGUUUGUUAAGAUCAGUUGCAGAAGGCAAAACCUCAAAGCAGGCGGCUGGUUAUAGAUAUCCUGAUAGUCAACGUGGAGGCCCAGACCAUGGGAUAACCGUUGAGAAUGGGAUGCCAACUCUUGAAAAUCACAAAGCAGUGCAAUCUUUGCUUUCAAAAUCUGUAGCAGUUGAGAAUUCUUAUGCUCUUGAAGCUUCCCAACCUUAUAACCUUACUGUCAGGAUUGGAAAAGAGAACGGAAGAAGGCGAAGGAAGAAAAGGGGUGUUGCUGCAGGUUUAACAGGACUGUUUGAAGUCUCAAGUAGUCAAAGUGGGAAUUCCACACCUUCAUCCCCUCUAUCUCCUGUAACAAAUGCGACUCCUAAGCGUACUUGGUCACCAUCUCCUGAAAUGGACCCUAAUGAGGCAAGAAAUCCAUUUGUUCAAGUGGCUGACCAACAGGGUGAGCAGGUUCAAGUGGCUGAAUCUACUUCCAAGGCAUCUGUAUUGGAGCCCAAGGUUUCUUUAAAAUGGUGCAGUACUAAUUGCUUCUCUUCUAUUCCAGGGGAACUCUUAGUGCCAAGAAAAACUAAUGGCAAACCUGUUUCGUUGCCUUCUGCCACUUUUCCUUCUGGUGAUAGGGCUGUCCCCAAUCUGCUGUACUCUUCUUCUCCAGCUUCAAAAUCUACAAUUGCUCCUCAUGUUCGAGCUCCUGGGCCCAAACUUCAUAACCAGAAAAAAGUAGAAGAAAAGGUAGGGGACGAAUAUAGGUAUGAUAUCUGGGGUGACCAUUUUUCUGGACUCCAUUUAAUAAGUAGUUCAAAGGAUGUAACAACCAUGGAAACUGUAAAGACAGAAAACAAUUCCAGUAGCUUCUUUGUAAGGGGUCCACAGGCCCUUGUGACAAAUUCUGCACCAAAAUAUGUGAAUUGCGAUCAAGAAGAGGAGGAAUGAUAAUUUCACCAAAUAAUUUUAAAUAUCUUUGUGCCUCCAUAUAUUUAUAUAACUUGCUUUUUUUUAAGGUUCAAAAAGUUUUCUUCAAUCUCUAACGAUGUGAGACAUUGCAACUUUUUAUGCGCAUGUGUGGUGUAUACUGUAAAUGAUUGCUUUCGAACUUUCUGUUGCAAAUUCUAUUGAAA